rnacentral:rRNA from 1 species
CUACGGGAUGCUGCAGUGAGGAAUUUUGCGCAAUGGGGGAAACCCUGACGCAGCAACGCCGCGUGAGUGAAGAAGGCUUUCGGGUCGUAAAGCUCUGUCAGAUAGGAAAAAAGUUCAUAUGUAAAUAGCUUAUGAAUCUGAUGGUACUAUCAGAGGAAGCACCGGCUAACUCCGUGCCAGCAGCCGCGGUAAUACGGAGGGUGCAAGCGUUGUUCGGAAUUACUGGGCGUAAAGGGCGUGUAGGCGGUAUGGUAAGUCAGAUAUGAAAGCCCUGGGCUUAACUCAGGAAGUGCAUUUGAUACUGCCAUCCUUGAGUAUGGGAGAGGAGAGUAGAAUUCCCAGUGUAGAGGUGAAAUUCGUAGAUAUUGGGAGGAAUACCCGUGGCGAAGGCGACUCUCUGGACCAAUACUGACGCUGAGACGCGAAAGCGUGGGGAGCAAACAGGAUUAGAUACCCCCGUAGUC